rnacentral:ncRNA from 2 species
GAAAUUCUUCGGGGCAGGGUUAAAUUCCCGACCGGCGGUAUAGUCCGCGACCUGAUACAGGAUUAUAAGUUAAACAACAACUUACCGGUAUCAGCUGAUUUGGUGCAAUUCCAAAACCGACAGUAAAGUCUGGAUGUGAGAAGAAACUG